CAGAGACGCAGACUGAGGUCCCGAAACAUCAUGCUAGUGUGCAGGUCACUGGCUGUGAUGAGUGCUAGAGCCUGGCCCUUUGCCUUUGACCACUUUGCCUUGUGGUCAACCUGAAGGAGGAGGUGGAGAGGCUGAGGACCAUAAAGGAAUGUGAGAGGGAGAUUGAUUGGUGGUGCCAGUCCCUAUCAGCCCCGAGAUCUUGGCACACAGCUGAGGCUCCGCUUGGAGCGUGUCACCCCCUGCCGCCUUGCAAACAGGUAGUAGAGGGGAACCGGCAGGUAGACUGUGUUCCUGCUGCAGUGCAAGGCAAUUUGAGAGCAGAGCAAGGCAAUCUAAGGGAGGAGGAGGAGUGGGAAAGGAUACCGGCUCGGCGAAGUGGGCGUCCUCCAUCCCGACCAUCCUCGGCUCCCCAGGUGCCUCUGCAAAAUGGUUUGCGGCCCUGAAUCUUGAGGGAGAGGUGAGUGAGGGGGUGGAGGGAGGUCCACCUGUGAGGUUGCCUCAGGCGAAGCGGUCGACCCCACGCCUCAAGACUGCCUCCACCCGGAAGGACAGAAGGGUGGUUGUCAUAGGUGACUCCCUGCUGAGAGGAACGGAAGGCCCUAUAUGUCGGCCUGACCCUACCCGUAGGGAGGUGUGCUGCCUCCCUGGGGCAAGGGUCAGGGACAUUGCUAGGAAACUUCCUGGUCUGAUUGGCCCUUCUGAUUAUUACCCAUUAUUGAUAGUUCAGGCUGGUAGUGAUGAAGUCGCUGAGAGAAGCCUGAGGUCUAUCAAGGAAGACUUCAGGGGACUGGGGUGGGUAGUUGAAGGAACGGGUGUGCAGGUGGUUUUUUCUUCCCUACCUUCAGUGGCAGGGAAGGAUACCAAGAGCAUCCAAAAAACCCGCCUCAUAAAUAAAUGGCUAAGAAGUUGGUGCAAGCACAGGAACUUCGGUUUUUUUGACCACGGGGCAAUUUACUCUGCGCCUGGCAUGAUGGCUGCAGAUGGAAGUAGCCUGUCUCCAAGGGGUAAGAGGAUCCUAGCCCAGGAACUGGCAGGGCUCAUUGAAAGGCGUUUAAACUAGGUAUGAAGGGGGAAGGGGGGAAGCUAGUGCUUGUGGGGGACUUCAAUUAUCCAGAUAUUUGCUGGAAAAGCAACGUGGCCAGGCACGCGCGGUCCAGACGGUUCCUGCAAUGUGUCAAAGACAACUUUCUGAUGCAGAUGGUGAAGGAACCGAUGAGGGG
rnacentral:lncRNA from 1 species